GGGUUCACCCUUUUUAUGAUUUUCUAACGAUUCCGAUGGUCGUGAGGGUCUAAAGCCAUGAGGAGAAAGGAAAGAGGAUGAGGAAGAGAAAUUGGAGCCUUACUUGAGCUCCAGUGGUAUCUCCGACCUCCGAUUUUUGAUGAACACAAAAAUAGGAGGCUGCAGCUUUCAACGGAGAAAAGAAGAGGAAUCUAGCUUGAAUAUUGUCGGUAGAGGGUCUUGAGGGAGGGG
rnacentral:lncRNA from 1 species